rnacentral:rRNA from 1 species
GACAGAGGAUGCAAGCGUUAUCCGGAAUGAUUGGGCGUAAAGCGUCUGUAGGUGGCUUUUUAAGUCUGCUGUCAAAUCCCAGGGCUUAACCCUGGACAGGCGGUGGAAACUACCAAGCUGGAGUACGGUAGGGGCAGAGGGAAUUUCCGGUGGAGCGGUGAAAUGCGUUGAUAUCGGAAGGAACUCCGGCGGCGAAAGCG